rnacentral:lncRNA from 1 species
GGUUCCUAACUUUUCGCUUUUUAUAAACUUUAUUAUAACCUUCAAUGUAUUCAAAUAGAGGUUCCUAACCUUUGAGAAAUAAACACCUAGGGAUUCAAAUUAAUGGAAACCUUCAAGUUGACCAUUAGUUGAUCAAAUAAAUUGAUUUUGACCAAAUUUGGUAAGGACCACGAAAUGGUAACUUAGUCAAGCCUAGAUUAUAAAAAAUAAAAAAUAAUAUAAACAAAUAAAUAACCAAAAAAAUCAAGAAAAGAAAUAAAAAGAAGGUGUCUCCUUCACUUCACCCACCCCACUCCCAUGGUCAUACCCCUAAAUAUCAACCACAAGCAUCGCCACCUAACACCGUCACAACAUUCGACACCAUUGUCGGCAUCAAACCAAGGGAGCUACAAGUACUUGCAUUUUGCAUUCCAAGCACUAUGCAUCUUUUUCAGAAAACCGAUUGAAACCUGAAUCCCCAAUUUUAAGAACCCUCAAACUAAAAAAAUCAUCGUCUUUUUUUAUUGUCUGUUGCAUUUUCUUCACUUCCCCCAACAAUGGCGGCAACAAACCUCCUCUCUCAAACCGCUACAAUCCAUCCCACAAAAUCAAUGAAAUCCCCAUUUACUUGGUUUCCCAUAAAACCCAUUUCAUCCUUCAUACUCAAGCCUACUUCAAGAAUCGCCUCUCUGUGCACACAGAUCGUUUUGUCCCCCGUCAAGCCCACAACUCAGAAUUUCCAGCGUUGUUUCAUGAAUCUAAAGAUGGGUAUUUUUAUUGUGAGGGAAAUAAAGUUCAGGUGGGAGAUUCUUUAUGUUGGAAAAGUAAAAAUUCUAGUGGAGUUAGAGAGAGAAUGAAGGCCUUGAUCAUUAAAUUAUUUUAUUUAUAUAAUAGCAAAUGGAGUAGAUUUUUUGUGCUAUUGUUUGAGAUGUUGGUUUUGGUUUGCAAUGGUGGCUGGUGAUGUCCAGAAGUAGCGGGUGGUGGUCGACGAGUUGUUUUUGGUUUUGGUUUGGAGGUGGAUGGAGUGUGAGGUGGGUGAGAUCUAGAAGAAUAUGAUUUUUUUUUUCUUUUCUCUUUUAUUUUAUUUAGUUUUUUUAUUUAUUUAUGGUUUUAAAAUUAUUUUUAUGUAUAUAAUAGAAAAGUUACCACUUUACCCAUUUUAAUUUGGUCAAAAUUAAUCAAAGUCCACUUUUAUUGGUUAAUUAGACUAUUUCCAUCCAUUUGAAUUCCAGGUGCUUAUUUCUCAAAGGUUAAGAACCUCUGUUGGCACACAUAAAGAUUAGGG